AUUAUUACAUUGGUUGCAAUGAAUUACAUUGAUUUCCCAGUUAAAUAAAAACCGAUAAUUUCACAUGUGAAAUAAACGUGGUUAUUUCACUCUCUGACGUCAUACAACAAUAGUCGUUGUCAAGACGUUGAUAACGGCGGAUCAAAACAAAUUGUGAAUGCGUAGAAAAAAGAUAUAGUUCCUGACAUGUUUUAUAUUAAUUUCGUUAAAAAAAG
rnacentral:lncRNA from 1 species